ensembl:lncRNA
GGCCGGAAGUGCUGCUCGGGGGCGCGUGGCGGUGGGGCCGGGGUCGGUUCCUCUCUCGCCUCUCCUCUGUGAGGCUCCAGUACCGUGCGGCUCUUGGAGCUUUUAUUUUUGUUUUCUUAACCAUCUCUGGUUGCGAUCGGGUAUAGAGAGGAGGGACUUUGUUCCCGUUAGGGGCUUGUGGCUCAGCCAGUCUCUGAACCCUGUCAGAAAAGGGCUGUCGUGGGGCUGCGCUUCUCAUCGAGCUCCUCUGCUUUCGCCUUGUCGCCUUUGUGCCUAUUCCCCCCUGCUUUUCUUUUGGAUCUGCGGAGCUUCCAAACGAACUUACCUCAGUAGGGUGCCCACGGAUUUGGUCUGCCCGGAAGAGAGAAGUGCCCAUAGAACCAUAGGAUGGCCUGGGUUGAAAAGGACCACGAUGAUCAUCGAGUUUCAACCCCCCUGCUGUGUGCAGGGUCGCCGACCACCAGACCCUGUGCCCGUGUAUUACACUGCCAAAGCAAAACCACAACGGCACGCAUCCGUGUGAUGUAAAUACAUGCAAUAACGCAGGCAUGAAGAGUUCCUACAGUGCUCUCGGGAUCCAUUUGGAAAUGGCACUGAACCUGGCCAGGAGUUAGUAAUAUUUUCAGUGAAUAAUCUCGUUUCUGUUAGCGACCUGAGAGCUUCGGGUGAUAAAACAGCCCACACAAGAACAUGCAGAAGCAGAAAAUGCAAGAUAAUGCGUGUGUGGGGUAAUGAGUACUUGCACCAUAAAUCAAGGAGCUCUCUGGCAGAGGACUGCGAAAAUACCCAGGCUUGUUAGUCAAUGGGGAAAGGAAGCUAACAGUUUAAAAUGCAGUUGCGAAGAGAGCCCCGCAAAUGUGACUGAUGUGUGUGAGGUCAAACCUCUGAGUUGCCUGUGAGACAUUACUGUGUCCUGGACUGACGAACCGUGUCCAGGAAAAGGAACCUGUACAGAAAUACACCCAGGAGGGUUACUGGAGCAGAGCAAAGCUUAUCUACAAGAAUACACUUGGAAUAUUUGUCUGGCUAAUGCGGCAAAAGCAAACGUGGAGGAGGGGAGAGAAGCUGCUGACGGCUGGUUUCUGGUGAGGAGGGUGAUCGGAAUGAAGAUGCAACAGGAGUGCUCACACAGAACAGAUUCACGCCAGCUGGUGAUCACACUGUUAAUUUCCCUUUCUUCCCUGUGGUGACGUUAUCCCUUUUUUUACCAACUACAAAAUCGUAAGUGUUUGUCGUCUUCAUGAGAACAGCAACUUUCCAGAUGAGAGCAGGAACCACAUCAGGGCACUCGUGAAGGGACGGAACACUGGACCUGAGCUUGGCUGAGGUCAUUGGCAGCGCUGGAUGCACAGGAGCUAGGCUAGUAGGGAGCCAGGAGGGCACAGGGUAAGAUUUGAUGUACUGCUGGAAGACUGUGUGAUAGAGCUAUGCUGCUUGUUUGUUUGUUUGUUCUUAAGGAAAUCAAAGCAUUUAAGUUUUAAGGUUGUAGUGCUUAUGUUUUGCAGUAGUAGAGCCUAAGUCUUAUGAGGAGUGGCUGAGGGAACUGAGAUUGUUUAGUCUGGAGAAGAAGAGGCUCAGGGAAGACCUUACCACUCUCCAACUACCUGAAAGAGAGUUGUGGUGAGGGGUUGGUCUCUUCCUCCAUGUAACUAAUGAUAGGACUAGAGGGAAUGGCAGGCAAGCACACUGUAAAGGGAGAUCAUAAACCACCAGAUAAAAUGUGCUGGCAGUUCUUUUUCCCUCAUGUUAAACUGUGUAUAGUCUUCAUUUAAGUAUCUUUGCAAUCAGGGAGACAAAAUUUGAACAGGUGCCUGGUGUAUGAUGCAGAUCCAUGGGGUGUACACAGACCCAGCCUACUUGCUUAGUCUCCCCACUCCUCCCAAAUCCACACUGCCUCUCUGCUACACCACUGUUGUAGUCUGCGUGGCCCCGUGCUGAGCCACUGCGGCCCCGUGAAUCUGUAGAAAGCUAACCCAGCCUAGAAAAGCAAAUUGUGAAAUAGUUGCUAGCGGUCAGGGAUUCAGACAGGACAGAGGAACAGAGUUAACUCCAUCCACAGCUCAAAAUGGUUUCAACUCACACCUGUUGCUUCUCACAAGGUGGUUUUAGUUUUGAGAAGUAAAGCAAACUAGAUUACAUUCUGGCAGAACUAGAUUGAAUUAAUGAGUUUUACCGUGCAAGUAGAGGGGACAACAAGCGUGAACGCAAUUAACUGUGGCUCUGCCAGCAGAUACUCAUUAAGUUGCUGUAGCUGUCACUUCCAAUUGUGUGCUCCCGUCCCCAGGGAUUGUACUUUAUUUUUUUAAACAAUUUGAAAGACAUGGAGACAAUAGAAGUAGGAAUACCAAAGUCUCCUCUCGGCCAUAAUUUAAUUUUCUAAUCAGAAAGGAGCAUUCAGGCUUCAGUCCCGUGGGCUUGUUUCAGAGGAUGACCACUUUGGUAGCUCUGCACAUGGGGACAGCUUUCUCUUGUUACCUUCUCAUUAAUGCUCUUUCCUGACACCACAGAUUAACUGUUUGGAGGAAGGGGGAUCACUCACCAAGGGGUGGGGCUGAUGAUUUUUAACUACUUUGUGAAGCCCUGUAUCCAUCCCUGUCACGUAAUAAGGUCGUCGUGUUUAAUUGAAGAUGGUGGUUAAAUGUAAAAAGAAUAAUUGCUCCUGGCCUGUUUUUAUUAGGAGUGAAAAUUUGAUCGACCAUUCCCAAAGCACUGAGAAAUCUAAAUGGAAAUAUCCUGGCUUGGCUUGUGACCUCAUUUUUCUUGUUCUUAGUGGAGUUUCGGUGGACUUCUGCUGAUGCGUUACGCGUCUUACAGCAAAGAGUUCUUUUACUUACCACAAAAGCAAACAGGAAACCUCGGUGAUAUUAUUAAUGUUAAUGAAAAGCUUCCACUAUGUGCCUUAAGUUUUGUAAGAAAUACUCAUCUGCCAAUGAAGUUAAGUUAAAUGGCUGUCAUCCAUACAUAGGUUCAAAACAGGGGAGUCAGCUUCAGGAUAUAAAAAACCCCGUGAAAUAAAUUAACAACAGCUAAUUUAUUAUUCCAUUUGACUCUCUCUUUCUCCUUAUGAUGUUUAAAAAUAAUUCAAUCACAAGAUUUAAGAGGAAGUGGAAAUAAUGAUGAUCUGUUUUUAUUAAGGUACAAAACUCUUGGAGUAUCUAUGGCAAACAGAGUAGACAUUGCUGUCUGAGUCAGACUUGAAAGGAAAUGUUUAAUCCCCUAUUUUAAUAACCAGCAUAUGAGCAACAGGACCUUGUAUUUCACAAGCAUUAGAUUUUUGUAUGUGUCAAUAAAAAAAUCAGUACUACAGUUACAGUAGUAUUAUAUUUUUAUAUGGUUACUUUGAGCGAAACAUUCAAUCUUUAAGAUGCCUUAAUUGCUGCGAGUUACACUGGAAAUUAAAAUAAGCUUUCCAACCUACUCUUCCUGUAUUUAUUUCUUAAAUGCGCAUUUUCUUAAAUGGGGCAGUACUUAAUCACCUCAGAUGUGAUCAAAUCGUAGCUGAGAUAAUUUUGUACAUGUGCUGAAACUGGUUUAGUACUAUGGGUACAUGUCAGAGUAGAGGCGUUUGUUCUGGAUGUUUGGAUCUGUGUUGCCUGUUCUAGGCAGGGAAGAGCAAAUGGCAUGCGACCCCUGCCCCGGGUCCCUGAAUAGGGGCAGUUUUAAGGGCACACCAGGUCCAGCUCCCGGUUCCACACAGGACCACCCAAAAUCAAACCCUAUGUCUGAGAGCAGUGUCCAAACGCUCCGUGAACCCUGACACUCGGGGCCAUGCCCACAGCCCUGUGCAGCCCGUUCCAUGCCCACCACCUUCUGGUGCAGCCCCUUUCCCUAACUCCCAGCUGCCCCUCCCCUGACAACUCCAUGCCGUUCCCUCAG